AUUCUCUCUCCCUCCCUCUCUCUCAAAAUAAAUCAAUUAAAAAAAAGAAAGGGUAAUUUGAGAGCCCCAGCGAAGUGCUGGAACUCACCAGCAAGACCUCUCCAGUCUCCCUCUCGGUUAUUAUAUAGCGGCCGCCCCGCUCCUCAUCUGGGGGGUUUCCAGCCCCCAGCGGACGCUGAAAGCAAGAACCCAUAUAUACCGUGUGCUUUCGCGCACGCGCGGACCUCUGCUAACGUCUAAUGUAUACACCGGGCCGCGCGGGAGGUGAAAGCGGUAACUCACGGUAAAACAGAGUGAUUGCGACAGGACUGAAACACAGGUUAUGUGACUGUGCCCUCUCUGUCGCAGUGCUUCCUCCUGGGAGGAUGUGAGGUGAUAAAGCGCCACGUGAGGAGGUGACAUGAGGGCACUGGAGCGGGCACGUGACUAACGUGGCGUUAGGCUGCGAGUGACCCUCUGAGGAGGCGUCAGGAGGACGACCAUCCGCGCCGGGAAACCCGCGUCGGCUGUAGGCGACUGAACCCACAGCAAGUGAAUUGUGGUGCCACUCUGAAUGCCCCUGUCCCCCUGUGACUCCUCAGUGACCUUCACCCCCUCCUCUCCCCCCCCCCCCCCCGUGUGGCCAGAGAGCUGUCCAGGUCAUCAGCCUCCUAAGAGCGGGGUGAUGGGUACAGCUGGUGCCGUCCUAAAAGACAUUUUGAGGACUAGGUCUCAUUGUCCUCCCUCAACUAUGGGGAACCAAGCCAGAGGACGGAGCUGCCAGAACUUGGGAUCGUGCAAGGCCUCGGCACAGAGGAAGAAAUGAGAGGCAGCGUAUGGGCCCUGAGUAUAGGAUGUCGGAAGAGGAAGGCCUGAGAGUUUAGAAGCACCAGGCCCACGGGAGUCUUGGGGACUAGCAGCCCUGGGAAGGUUCUGGAAAGCAGCCUACAGCUCUGAAGAGCUCUUGGGAGCAUAAAGUGCUUUUGUUGGCUGUCUCAGAAGAGAGGACAGGGUCUUUCCUCCUCCUCCUCAUCUUCUUCGGAGGUCUUGGACACAUAGACCGUUGGCCAGGGCCAGGUCAUAGCUUAAUGUAGGGACUCAUCUAGAAUAAACUUCUAUAUGUUUUCUACCUC